GACGAACGCUGGCGGCGUGCUUAACACAUGCAAGUCGAACGGGCCCGCUCUCUUUUUUGGGGGGGGGUUGAGUGGCGAACGGGUGAGUAUCACGUGAGUAACCUGCCCCCUGCUCCUGGAUAACUGCUUGAAAGGGCGGCUAAUACGGGGUGUGCCGGCUGGUCCGCAUGGGCCUGGUCGGGAUGGUUUCAUCUUCGGGUGUUUCGGUGGGGGAUGGGCUCGCGGCCUAUCAGCUUGUUGGUGGGGUGAUGGCCCACCAAGGCGGUGACGGGUAGCCGGCCUGGGAGGGUGGGCGGCCACACUGGGACUGAGACCCGGCCCAGCUUCCUGCGGGAGGAAGCGGUGGGGGGUAUCGCACAAUGGGCGGAAGCCUGAUGAAGCGACGUCGGGUGAGGGAUGGAGGCCUUCGGGUUGUGAACCUCUUUCUCCGGUGGUGAAGGCCCUGUCCGUUGCGGCGGGGUUGACGGUAGCCGGGUAUGAAGCGCCGGCUAACUACGUG
rnacentral:rRNA from 1 species